UACGGGGGGGGGCAAGCGUUGUUCGGAAUUACUGGGCGUAAAGGGUUCGUAGGUGGCCAACUCAGUCAGACGUGAAAUCCCUCAGCUCAACUGGGGAACUGCGUCUGAUACUAGAUGGCUCGAGUGCAGGAGAGGAACGCGGAAUUCCAGGUGUAGCGGUGAAAUGCGUAGAGAUCAGGAAGAACACCAGUGGCGAAGGCGCUCUGCUAGGCCGUAACUGACACUGAGGGACGAAAGCUAGGGGAGCGAAUGGG
rnacentral:rRNA from 1 species